rnacentral:rRNA from 1 species
AAGGCUUCAGUACGACUAUGUCAGAACUAUAAGUCUCAAAGCCCCGACGAGUAGGGUGGCGUGCCGGUGAGCGUUGAAGGCCAAGACGUGAGUCAGGCUGGAGCCGCCGGUAGUGCAGAUCUUGGUGGUAGUAGCAAGUACUCUGGUGAACCAACCUGGAGCUGUGAGGUCUGGAUUAGGGUUCCAUGUCAACAGUGAUUGAACAUGGGUGAGUCGAUCCUAAGCCAACUGUGAAAGCAGUGACAUCCCGACAAUGGUGCAUUAGGGGGUGUGCCCGGCGCUCGCAUGCUCUAUCGCCUCCUCUCGAUAUUGGGCGUGAUAUGCGUAUCACGUUGGAUUGACCUCCUACGCUCGAGGGCCGUUGCUGGACGAACUAAGAUGAAAGAGAGGCUGCUUGGGCGAAGAGCUUGCACUGAGCGUUUGAGAUGCGCACACUAUGCUCUCUGCGUUGGUUCUAUGUCCGGCGAAAGGGAAUGGGGACUUUGUUCCUUGACCGGUCCCGGCACCCUCGAUAGGCUUUAGCCGUUCAAUGGUCCAUGCAAAUGGAACCAGGCCAUAGCCGCCGGCAGUCGCCCGAGGAAGAGUUUUCUUUUCUGCUUAACGCACGAGAUCAUCCCUGAAAACAGUUCGGCUGGCGAAAGGGUGCCCCGCUGCGGCAGAGCGCCACGACUGUCGUGCGCGUCUCGGUGUACCUGCUGGUCCGUGAAGACGUGGUCGAGAGGGUUGCACUUGUAUCAACGAAACGCCCGACAAGUUCGGGACGGACCGUACCCUAUAUCCGCAUCUGGUCUCCAAGGUUCGUAGCCUCUGCAGAGUCAGACACAUGUAGGUAAGGGAAGUCGGCAAACUCGAUCCGUAACUUCGGGAAAAGGAUUGGCUCUGAGGGCCGAGCUGGGCCGGGCCUUGCCAGCAAAGCAGUACCUAUAGUGACCGGAGUUUUAGGAGUGCGAGGGGCUCUAGUAGCUGCCUAUGGGCACGAACCAGUCUACCGCUCCGCUCCAACCACGAACGGCUGUGACGGCAAGGGCUCUGGGCGGGAGCAUUCAAACCGAUUGACCUCCAGCUCGUCUGGGUGGUGGCGGUGCUUCGUCUGACCCAUACGGCUCCAGCGGCCAGCGGCUAACUCAGAACUGUCAUGGACCAAGGGAAUCCGACUGUCUAAUUAAAACAAAGCGUCGUGACGGCCCCUGUUGGGUGUUGACGCGACGUGAUUUC